GGGUUGUGAGGUUAAGCGACUAAGCGUACACGGUGGAUGCCCUGGCAGUCAGAGGCGAUGAAGGACGUGCUAAUCUGCGAUAAGCGUCGGUAAGGUGAUAUGAACCGUUAUAACCGGCGAUUUCCGAAUGGGGAAACCCAGUGUGAUUCGUCACACUAUCAUUAACUGAAUCCAUAGGUUAAUGAGGCGAACCGGGGGAACUGAAACAUCUAAGUACCCCGAGGAAAAGAAAUCAACCGAGAUUCCCCCAGUAGCGGCGAGCGAACGGGGAGCAGCCCAGAGCCUGAAUCAGUGUGUGUGUUAGUGGAAGCGUCUGGAAAGGCGCGCGAUACAGGGUGACAGCCCCGUACACAAAAAUGCACAUGCUGUGAGCUCGAUGAGUAGGGCGGGACACGUGGUAUCCUGUCUGAAUAUGGGGGGACCAUCCUCCAAGGCUAAAUACUCCUGACUGACCGAUAGUGAACCAGUACCGUGAGGGAAAGGC
rnacentral:rRNA from 1 species